AUGUCAAGGCUUUUUAGUGGAGUACAAGCUGCGAUGGUUAUCAAUCGGGUAGAAAACAGUGAGCAAUCUCCUGAAGAUUGGAAUAGCGAUGGUGAUGGUUCAGGCUGUUCAACCGGAGUAGCUGGCACACCAUGUUUCACCUCUAGGUUAUCACUGCUCAAGGCUGGUUCAGUAAUAGCACAAUUUAAUGAAUUCAAGCAGCAGUUAGUCAGGGAAACCGGUUUCGGAGGAAUGCUAGAGUUGAAGUCAUGGCAGAAGAUUAACUUGAAAUAUAGUGCUUUUUUGAUGGAUAGAGUUGAUUUAGAUUCCUUCUCCUUGAAUCUGGAGGCACAGGGUGUGUUGGAUUUGGUUGACAGGGAUAUGAACUAUGUCUUUGGCAUCCCAUGUGGCAAUCUAACCAUUCAAGGGGAAGGCGUUGAGCCAUCUAAAGCUUGUAUUAAGUACACGCGUGUAGCAGCAUCAUUUAGCGAGAAAGGCACACACACAGCCUGGAAGCCGCUGAAUCAUUCUUGCUUGCACCCAUAUUAG
rnacentral:rRNA from 1 species